rnacentral:rRNA from 1 species
GUACACAAAAAUGCACAUGCUGUGAGCUCGAUGAGUAGGGCGGGACACGUGGUAUCCUGUCUGAAUAUGGGGGGACCAUCCUCCAAGGCUAAAUACUCCUGACUGACCGAUAGUGAACCAGUACCGUGAGGGAAAGGCGAAAAGAACCCCGGCGAGGGGAGUGAAAAAGAACCUGAAACCGUGUACGUACAAGCAGUGGGAGCACAGAGCAAUCUGUGUGACUGCGUACCUUUUGUAUAAUGGGUCAGCGACUUAUAUUCUGUAGCAAGGUUAACCGAAUAGGGGAGCCGAAGGGAAACCGAGUCUUAACUGGGCGUUAAGUUGCAGGGUAUAGACCCGAAACCCGGUGAUCUAGCCAUGGGCAGGUUGAAGGUUGGGUAACACUAACUGGAGGACCGAACCGACUAAUGUUGAAAAAUUAGCGGAUGACUUGUGGCUGGGGGUGAAAGGCCAAUCAAACCGGGAGAUAGCUGGUUCUCCCCGAAAGCUAUUUAGGUAGCGCCUCGUGAAUUCAUCUCCGGGGGUAGAGCACUGUUUCGGCAAGGGGGUCAUCCCGACUUACCAACCCGAUGCAAACUGCGAAUACCGGAGAAUGUUAUCACGGGAGACACACGGCGGGUGCUAACGUCCGUCGUGAAGAGGGAAACAACCCAGACCGCCAGCUAAGGUCCCAAAGUCAUGGUUAAGUGGGAAACGAUGUGGGAAGGCCCAGACAGCCAGGAUGUUGGCUUAGAAGCAGCCAUCAUUUAAAGAAAGCGUAAUAGCUCACUGGUCGAGUCGGCCUGCGCGGAAGAUGUAACGGGGCUAAACCAUG